AAAGCAACACUACCUGCACCCCAGCAGAGAUGGAGUGGAACUCCUGUCGGACAACGUAUGACUAAGAAAGAAUAUGUUCCUGAAAGGCAGAGAAAGCUGCAAGUAAGUGGGACACAAUGUUGCUGUGUAAAGAAGUGGCUGUAGGCUUUCUGGGGUCCCACCUUAUUUUGGACACCAGCGCUGAUGAUGGUGAUCCAUCAGCACAUGGUGAAACUACAGAUCUUCACACAAACUCUUCAUAUGUGAUUCUCUGAACUCCAAGGUCUUUCAUCUUGAGUCAUGUUUUUCACGGUAUGUGUACCCAAGGAUUCGGCAUACUAAGUCCAAUUCCGUGCCGGCUGAGCUACCGAGCAAGCCUGUUACAUCCAGAAAGUGAAACAUAUGGAGCUGG
ensembl:lncRNA